UACGUAGGGUGCGAGCGUUAAUCGGAAUUACUGGGCAUAAAGCGUGCGCAGGCGGUUCGUUGUGUCCGUCGUGAAAGCCCCGGGCUUAACCUGGGAACUGCGAUGGAAACUAGCGAGCUGGAGUGUGGUAGAGGGGGGUGGAAUUCCGCGUGUAGCAGUGAAAUGCGUAGAGAUGCGGAGGAACACCGAUGGCGAAGGCAGCCCCCCUGGGCUAACACUGACGCUCAGGCACGAAAGCGUGGGGAGCAAACAGG
rnacentral:rRNA from 1 species